GAUGAAGAACGUAGCAAAAUGCGAUACGUAAUGUGAAUUGCAGAAUUCAGUGAAUCAUCGAGUCUUUGAACGCACAUUGCGCCCCCUGGUAUUCCGGGGGGCAUGCCUGUCCGAGCGUCAUUGCUGCCCUCAAGCACGGCUUGUGUGUUGGGCCUCCGUCCUCCUCCCGGGGGACGGGCCCGAAAGGCAGCGGCGGCACCGCGUCCGGUCCUCGAGCGUAUGGGGCUUCGUCACCCGCUCUUGUAGGCCCGGCCGGCGCUUGCCGACACAUCAAUCUUUUUUCCAGGUUGACCUCGGAUCAGGUAGGGAUACCCGCUGAACUUAAGCAUAUCAAUAGCGGAGGA
rnacentral:misc_RNA from 1 species